CCCUUAGAUGUUCUGGGCCGCACGCGCGCUACACUGAUUCAUGCAACAAGUUUUGUCCUUGGCUGAUAGGCCUGGGUAAUCUUUGAACGUGAAUCGUGAUGGGGAUAGAUGAUUGCAAUUAUUCAUCUUCAACGAGGAAUUCCUAGUAAACGCAAGUCAUCAGCUUGCAUUGAUUACGUCCCUGCCCUUUGUACACACCGCCCGUCGCACCUACCGAUUGAAUGGUCCGGUGAAAUCUUCGGAUCUGAGAGAUGUCAGAUUAAUUUCGGACGCCUUUUGGAAAAGUUGUUUAAACCUUACCAUUUAGAGGAAGGUGAAGUCGUAACA
rnacentral:rRNA from 1 species